UGGGGAAUAUUGGACAAUAGGCGAAAGCCUGAUCCAGCCAUGCCGCGUGUGUGAAGAAGGUCUUCGGAUUGUAAAGCACUUUAAGUUGGGAGGAAGGGCAGUUACCUAAUACGUAUCUGUUUUGACGUUACCGACAGAAUAAGCACCGGCUAACUCUGUGCCAGCAGCCGCGGUAAUACAGAGGGUGCAAGCGUUAAUCGGAAUUACUGGGCGUAAAGCGCGCGUAGGUGGUUCGUUAAGUUGGAUGUGAAAUCCCCGGGCUCAACCUGGGAACUGCAUUCAAAACUGUCGAGCUAGAGUAUGGUAGAGGGUGGUGGAAUUUCCUGUGUAGCGGUGAAAUGCGUAGAUAUAGGAAGGAACACCAGUGGCGAAGGCGACCACCUGGACUGAUACUGACACUGAGGUGCGAAAGCGUGGGGAGCAAACAGGAUUAGAUACCCACGUAGUCCCUGAGCGGGCUGG
rnacentral:rRNA from 1 species